rnacentral:misc_RNA from 1 species
UAUGAAGAACGUAGCGAAAUGCGAUAAGUAAUGUGAAUUGCAGAAUUCAGUGAAUCAUCGAAUCUUUGAACGCACCUUGCACCCUUUGGCAUUCUGAAGGGUAUGCUCGUUUGAGUGUCAUUGUACUCUCACACUCCCGAUCUUUGCAUUGGGAGCAGUGGACUUGGGUUUGCUGCUUCACCGUCGCUUACCUCAAAUAGGUUAGUGCAACUCUUGGUUGGACAUAGUACGGCGUGAUAAGUGUUCUUCGCCGGUGCCUCGCAAAGAGGGUGGCCGAUCGGGAUGUUGUGCUCCAAACCGUCUUCGGACAAUCUCUGACGACUUGACCUCAAAUCGAGUAAGACUACCCGCUGAACUUAAGCAUAUCAAUAAGCGGGGGA